ACCCAUUUGCCUGUCAGUAAGUGACCUUGUGGAAGCUAGUAGAGGCUUAAGAUUGACAUUUCAGCUUGUUUUGCAUUUCCUUGGCUAGACAAGCUCUUACAUGAUUGUUUUGGUGUGCUGGAAUCAAAGCACUGAUCUUGUUAGGUUUUGUGAACUGUCAAGUGCAUGAAAUUGUUGUUGUUCUUAUCCAGUGUUUUUGAGAUACAGUCAAAUCAGCUUUAAUCCACACUAGCACUAUUUCAAGUUUUCAGUUCACAUCUUAAUUGCAGUUAGGUAGGGUGGCAAAAUGUGAUGUGUGACUGAAGCUGCCGGAUUGAAAAUGGGAUAUAAAGAAAACCCACAAGUAAAACUGCUUCUUGAUGAAAUGCUGAAAACAAAUCCAAAAAAAUUCUGGACGUUAUUUGGAAUAAAUGGAACAAUCUGUUGAUUCCUUGAGUUGAAGCUCUCCCUGGAAAUGAAAUAGGGUUGAAAUUUCUGACUGCAUUAAAUCACUGAGGCUCAAGUCACAGUACAUUUCAGUAGAAGCCAAUGCCGGGAUUUUACUGAAGCUGGUAAGGAGAAGAGGUCUCAUAAGAUUUACGUAACUCAUGCAGUGGGACAUGGAGCUGCUGCUGUGAAAUUCAAAGAACUUGAAGGUAUCAAAACAGACAGAUGGCUACCAGUGGGUUUAGUAUUUGAUAUCAAGCACAGUUCUGAUGAAUUCUGAUGAGUGACUUGGGAAGUGCCAGAUGAUGGAAGAUGAAUAUCAGAUAGCCUGAAUAAAAGAACACAAGAACUUCAUUAUGCUGUUUUCUGAAAUACAGGAAGCAAGAGGUUAAAGGAGGAUGGAGAAACAAAUAGGAAGAAUGCUCAGCGUUUACUACUUAUGAAGCAGUAUCAUGUUGUGGUAAUUCAGGCAUUUGUCUAAUAAGUCUCUAGAAAUAACCUCCGAACAAUUCAGAUAGCAGCAGCCAUUACAGGCUGUUCACAAGCUGCUGAUAUAACUGUGGAGACACGUCUAGUAAAAGUCACCUGGGAUCAAACUAAAAUGAGUGACGGUGGAGCUGCUUCCAUAUCACAUCUCCUGCUUCCAGUACAGAACUUUUCAGGAACAGAAUGUAACACUGCUCCAAAGUCUUGGCAUGCCAGUGUUGCCUUUGUGUAUUUGAAGUAUUUCCACUGGUCUUCGGAGUCCUGUCAUCCACCAAUGUGGAAUCCACAACACAGAGCUGUGACUAUCCUUUGGAAGGAACAGACAUGACAACCAUCGUCUUAACUGCACUGUGUCAGAGGAACCAUGAGUUUGGCAGCAAUCCAUACCCAGUGCAUGGAGGACCUUCAGAUGAAUUUUUUCUGCUACAGUUUAACUUGCCACGUUUAAUUUGCAAGUAUCAAGAGGGGUGAGGCAUUGGAACAGGCUGCUCAUGGAGGUGGAAGAGUUACCGACCCUGGAGCUGUCCAAGAAAAAGGUAGGUGUCCCACUGAGUGACGUGGUGCAGUGGUGAUGGAUUGACAGUUGGACUAUAUGAUCUUAGUGGUCUUUCUAACCUUGAUGAUUCUGUAAUGCUUCCUAUUUAAUGAUGUUGACCUAUGAUAUCAGAGGCAAAUGUUGGUAGUAUGGCAGUAGAAAGGCAUCUAGCAUGGAAGUGCUGAUGAAGCAAAAGGUGUGUCAUUGAAUUCCUCCAGUCGGAGAAAAUGGCACCCUUGACAUUCACUGACACUUGGUGAGUGUUUAUGGAGAUCAAAGAGUGCAUGUGAGCACAGGGAGGUGGUGGCUGGCAUGUUUCUGCAGUGGCAACAGUGGGUCACUUCUGCUAGUGCAAAUUUGUAUGAGUGUGGCAUGCAGGUUCUUGUUCAGUAGCUAUGCAUUUUCACUGGCGGAGGUGCUAUGCUGAAAAACUGUUUUUUAACUGAGAAUUUGCCCCAUCAAAUUGUGUUACUGUGCUCUUUGUAGCUGGUGUAUUUUCUGUGGAAAUAAAUAGGAAGCAUUACUUCCUAUCUCUAGGAAGAGAGAUAGAUCUCUCUAGAGAUCUAAGUAGAUCUCUAGUAGAGAUCUAAGGUGCAAUACAUAUUAAAUUAUCUUCCUGUUUUAGAAGAGCAUAUCUCUCUCUAUAGUUAUUGCUUAUCUCAUAUUCUAUCAUAUCAUAUGCUUCUAUCUAUUACUUCAAUCAGGUAGUGUUGUUGUGCUGUGUAGUCUUUACAGUGGCCUUUAGCAGACAAAUACAUGCAGACUAGAAUGUGUGUCAGCACAGGCACUUGGUUUCCCCUCUUCCUCAUUCUUGGUUCAGAAUAUAAUGGAUUGGAAAAUGAAGCAUUGCUCUAAACAAACCAUGCUGUGAUGCAGAGCUUUGCAUUUAGUUUCAGCUUGUCCUAUCUCAAAAGCUUACUAGUAACUCUUGAUGAAUAGAGUACAGUGUACAUUUACCUACAAAAAGAUAACUAAUGUUCACAAGUAUUUUAAUUGUUAUUUCAAUUUUGCUUCUUUAUCUUCAGUGUGUGUAGAUUAAGGGAAUUCUAAAUUCUUUUUUUUUUUUUUUGCAUAUUUUUUUUGAAGCAGAUAACUACAUUGGCUUAUAACUUUUACUUUGAUAAUGACAGUUAUGACCAGCAGAACAGUUCAACGUACAUUAGCAGAGCAUUUAGAAUAUUUUUAAAUGAAGUAGCCUUCAUAUCUUGCUAUCUGGUGGAACUGCUAUCACAUUGCAAUGGUAUUUUAGAAGUGAUAAGAACCUUGUUCUUGCCCCACCCAGUACAGUUGCUGGCACUUCUAAGUAUUAUACAGAUACCUGUCCUGUAAGGGCAUUUUCUCUUUUAAAAUAAAUGUAAUAGAAGUAGUUUUGGAAUCUCUGUGUACUCAUCUUCAAGACUUUUCUUUCAGGCACAAAGUAGCAUGUUUUUAUGCACCUGUUGUUGUGGAUAUCUUGUCACUUUUCCUGCUGCUGGACAGAAGGGUGGGUGGUAAGGUCUGGAUUUGGAGGACUAGCUUUUUCAUCUUUUUCUGUAUAUUUAUAUCAAGGUGUAUGGAAUUGUUAAAUGUAAGAGUUUCAACUCUGUAGUUACAGUAUCAUAGGAAAGCAGCCAGUGGUAGUAGACACUGGUAGAGAUCAAGUAAGCCACACUCUUAGCUGCAAUAAAUAGAUACAAAAGAAUAUUAGUAGCUUUAGUUAAAAACAAAAAUAACCUACAACAAACAAAACAACACAAAAACAUCAGUAUAUUUACUAGCAGUUACUUGCAAUUAGAGUAUAUAAUAGAUAUAUAUGAUAUAUAUCUAUAUAUGAUAUAUAUAUAGAUAGAUAGAUAUCAUAGAUAUAUAUGAUAUAUAACAUAUAGAAAGAUAUGUUUAAAGAGCGUUUGGAUGUUGUGUUAAGGGACAUGGUUUAGUGGGAACCAUUGCUGAAGGGCGAACGGUUGGACUGGAUGAUCCUGUGUGUCUUUUCCAACCUUAGCGAUUCUAUGAUUCUAUAUUACAGCUAUUCAUGCAAGCUAGAAUUCUAUCAACUGGAUUGAACUAUUAAGUUAUAACUAGAAUAAGCUAUGCAUACUGCAUCAUAGUUCUUUUGAGCUAAAAUUGAUAUUUUUAACCCCCUUUCUGUCAGGUUAUUACUUUCCAUUUGAAAACAAGGAUAAGAGGACACGAUUAAAGGCUUUACUGGAAGAGUUGCCAACUUUAUAUUCCUGUUCCCCCCUCCAAUUGCUUUGUGUGCCAUUUUAGUUUUUUAAUCAUCUAGUAUAACAAAGGAACUAUAAAUAUGAGUCUAUUAGUAAACAAAACUCUGAAUUUAGGCUAAAUGUGAUACUGAAUUCCUUUCCAAAGCUCUUUGCUAACAGCAAAGAGGCGAGAUAUUUGUUUGCCCAUCUAAGACUUUUAUCAUGUCUAGAUGCAAAUUUCCUGUAAACCUUUAAAAAGAAGUCUGCUGAAGGAGAGAUGUGCCUGCACUUCAGUAUGAGCCGUACCUUCAGUUCAUCCAAAUGUGAAAUCUGAGAGUAUUUGGAAAUGGAAAACAAUGGAGACAGUUCAUAUGUUACGUAAAACUUUUUGCUUGGGUUUUUAACAGCCAGGGUGAAAACUUAUUUGAAUAAGUAAGUUAAUAAAUUCUUGAAGCAGUUGUGCUUACCAGGUAAACCAGAUAACUUUAUACAGGUUAAGUUUCAUGGGAUUUACUUAAGGUCAUGCAUAAGGAACACCCACCUUCAGUUUCUGAUGACUCAUCAUGUUCACCAGGAUUCCUGUAGGUUUCACUUGGAAAUAGAUGGCCAAAUGUAAUGUUUACUGUAGUUAGAAAUGUACUUAACCCAGUUAACUUAUAAAACUCAUGACAUGCAGCAAUGUAGGUGGAGACCUGAGAUGACCCAGUGUGACUGCUUCCUUCCAUACUAGAACUGCUAUGCUGCUAAGGCUGGUGCCCAUGCUGAGGUGUAACAAGAAAGAAGGAAAGGAACACUGGAUUCCGGUUUUGCAUAAACAAGUCCUGAAGAACUCUGGAAGCCUGUCUGCUUAUUGUUAAGAUUCACUGGAGAGGCAAGGAAAAGCACGUACAGCUAAUGGGGCCAUCUCCCGGGGUCAUCCAGCAGCUGUUCCUGUUGAAUAUUCAAACACACCCAUCCACACCCACCUCCACCCAUGCAGAAAAGGAUUGAAAGGAUCACCAGACAAGAAACAAGAAAGCAAGACUGCUGACAUUUAAAAAUGAAAUUUGCUUUUGGUAAUAAGGGGAUUUCUUCCGUACACUCACCACCCCUCCCUUUUCUGUUACCCUUCCUAUUUCCUUCUUCUGACUGUUUUUCUUAGUGACAUUAUGUCCUUUAAUCAUCUAAUUCUCAUAGUGAUGAUCCAAGAGCAUUCAGAUGACCUAUCAUUGAAUGUUUUACCCCAUGUGGUACAAAACAAAAAGCUACAGCAACAAAACCCUCCUGUUAAAUUAUGUACUUUUAUGUGUCAUAAUUAUGUAUUUUUUAAUUUCACUUUUGUAUGUCUUGGGCACUAUGGAAAAAUUAUUUCUAGAAGAAAAAAAAGAUUUCAUUUUCUGAUUUCUACUAAAAAAAAGUGAGAUCCAUAUAUACACCCAAGGGAAAUUAGCCUUUAUGCUAAGGUUAACUUAGAGCGAUUUAGAAACCCAGUAUCUUUUGUAUCUAUCUUAUCCAGUGUUUGUCCAGACUAAGUUCAGUGUUGGUAACUUCUGCAAGUGCUGUCAGAUCACUGGGUGAUGCUUCAUCAACAGCUUCUCCUUUAUUUCAGAUUUUUUCCUUUCUCUCAGUGCCCUGUGCUCUUUUGUUUUCUGUUAACUCAGUUUUCUUCCUUUAUGAAAAUAACCACAGAACUUUUCUAAGAGAAGUUAUUUAUGAAACUUAUGUAUAAUUUUGAGUAUGUAACAGAAAGAGAGAGUCACUGCAAAUCACUACUCAUCUUCACUGAUGAUUUCUCUGGCAGAAGGACUGGAGUUCCAAGCCUAUAACCCAUUUUAAAACAAAAAUCCACUUGAGGAGCACAAGUCACAAACUGAACUGGUAUUUCCAAUGAUACAGCUUUCUGAAGAAAAAAAAUUUGAAUUGAGAAUAAAAUGCACAGAACUGCAAGAAUCUGAAAAAAAAAAAAAAUCAGCCAAAAUCAAGUAAUUGAUACUUGAAAAAGCCGAAGAUUUUUGGGAAAAAAAAAAAAAAAAAGCUGUCAUUUUUCCUAUUAAGAAAUAUCCCACUUCUCUAAUUAAACCUAAAGAUAUUGUAAUGCUCAGCAAGCCAGCAAAUGUUGUCUGGAAACAACGUAAGGGAAUAAAUUCAUAAGCUUACCCACACAAUAGCAAAAAAAAAAAAAAAAAAAAAAGUCCACCUGUUAAGAAGCUAUGAAUAAUUGCACAAGCUUCAGCUGAUACAUAAUACAUCCUGGUAUUAAUCUAGAUCCUUAAAUAUCCCUUCUAGUACUAAAAAUACCUUAGAGGAACUGCACACCCCAAGAGAACAACCUGUAGAGAACUUUCUUUAGUUUCCUUUAAAUUCUGUCAUUUCCUUUUUUAUCCUAACAAAACCACAGUCUAGAAGUUGUGGUCUGUAGUCUAGAUUAAUUCCAUGUGCUUCUCUGAGGAUAGAGGAUCCUUCUACAAAAGGGAGAAAAGAGUUCCUGGAGGGUAUGACAAAUGUAGCAUAGUUAUAAUGGUAGCGAAGCAAACCACCUUCUUCUGUACAAAGUGCCAAAUUUCUGGCAAUACAUUCUUUUUCUACCAUGUGAGAUUUUUUUCAUCUGUUAAACUUUGUGAGGUUUACAAUAAAGGCAAUGUAUUUUGUAAUGCAAAACCAAACCUAUAGAGACUUGGGGCCAUCUAAAAUUUUAAUUUUGUGGCGGGAAAAUGAAUUUGGAAAUAGGAAAAGAAGUCAGAAAAAGCUGAAAAAUCAUCUUAAAUACAUUUCAAGAAGAGGAGCUAUAAAAUGGAAACACUCAGUAAGGAAUAUAUUGCAAUGCUGUUCCAGAACUUGGGCAAACAAUGCAUAACUAAAUCGGAAACACUACCUUCUGCCAGAUCUGAUGAAAAAGGAUAAUUUUUAGCAGGUAUCUACUGCCCCUACCAAAUCAACUCCAAGUCCAGAAUAAGAGAAAAGCAAAAUCUGAAAUAGCCCCACCAUUACUGAUAUAUGUGCUACUCAUAUUUACAUAUAAACGGA